rnacentral:rRNA from 1 species
AUGCAACAGACCAGGGACCCCACCGCCAAGCUCCCCUCCGCCUCCCCCUUCGCCAGCGCCAGCCCUCCUCCCCCAUACCACCACCACCACUACGGCACCUUCUCCCCUCCGCCGCCGCCGCCCGUCGCUGCAGCCGCCUACGACCCCUCCCUGAAAGGGCGCAGUGCUCAGGGCGUUGUUGCUUUCCCGUGCACUAUCCAGCAGCAGGUCUUGGUGGAGGGCCUCCCAGUCCGGGAGCCGCGGCUGCCGUUCUGCGGCGUCGGCGUCGGCGGGGCUUUGUUCUUACUAGGGUUCUUCUUGGCUGCAAUUCCCUGGUAUAUUGGUGCUUUUCUUCUAUUCUUUGUUGCUUUGGAUCACCGGGAGAAGCCUGGAUUGAUUGCCUGCACAGUUGCUGGCAUUUUUGCAGUAGUCCCUUUCGUGCUCAAUGGCAUAAGAAUGCGUCCGUUCUUUUUUUGA